GGGCCCGCACAAGCGGUGGAGUAUGUGGUUUAAUUCGAUGCAACGCGAAGAACCUUACCAGGGUUUGACAUCCUGCGAAUUUCUGGGAAACCGGAAAGUGCCUUCGGGAGCGCAGUGACAGGUGGUGCAUGGCUGUCGUCAGCUCGUGUCGUGAGAUGUUGGGUUAAGUCCCGCAACGAGCGCAACCCACGUCUUUAGUUGCCAGCAUUUAGUUGGGCACUCUAGAGAGACUGCCGGUGAUAAACCGGAGGAAGGUGUGGAUGACGUCAAGUCAUCAUGCCCCUUACAUCCUGGGCUACACACGUACUACAAUGGCAAGUACAACGAGUCGCAAUACCGCGAGGUGGAGCAAAUCUCUUAAAGCUUGUCUCAGUUCGGAUAGGAGUCUGCAACUCGACUCCUUGAAGUUGGAGUCGCUAGUAAUCGCAAAU
rnacentral:rRNA from 1 species